AAUCGAACUCGGAGAUAGCUGGUUCUCCCCGAAAUAGCUUUAGGGCUAGCCUCAUGUUAGAUAUCCGGAGGUAAAGCACUGAAUGGCCUAGCGUCCGAGAGGAUAGCGAAGCCUAUCAAACUAAGAAUGCCGGAAUAUUGAUGCAUGGGAGUCAGACAGUGUGAGAUAAAUCUCAUUGUCAAAAGGGAAACAGCCCAGAUCUACAGCUAAGGUCCCAAAUUGUAUCUAAGUGGAAAACGAUGUGGAAAUACGCAGACAACCAGGAUGUUGGCUCAGAAGCAGCCACUCAUUUAAAGAGUGCGUAAUAGCUCACUGGUCGAGCGUCUCUGCGCGGAAAAUUUAACGGGGCUAAGAUACAAACCGAAGCUUAGGCUGCACUUUUAGUGCGGGGUAGGGGAGCGUUGUGUAAGCGGAGAAACAGUAGCGAAAGCGGCUGUGGAGUUUACAGAAGUGAGAAUGCCGGAAUGAGUAGCGCGAAUGAUGUGAGAAUCAUCAUGGCCGGAAACCUCAGGUUUUUGGAGGAAGGUUCGUCCGCUCCAAGUUAGGCGGGAGCUAAGGUGAGGCCGAAAGGCGUAGCCGAUGCACAGACGGUAGAGAUUCCGUCACCGCCAAAAGAGUUAAGCACAGGGACACAUAUGAAGUCUCAGAGCCGGGUGUUGGUUCCGGUAGAGAUCGAGGGAAGUUAGUACCGAAGUCUGAGAUGGAAGAUGGCGAGAAAAGCUGUGUGUAUUUCUGAGGUGCCCGUACCGCAAACCGACACAGGUAGGUAGGAAGAAGAUUCUAAGGCCAACGGGAGAAGGGUUGUUAAGGAACUCGGCAAGUUGACCCCGUAACUUCGGGAGAAGGGGUGCUUACGAAGGUAAGCCGCAGAGAAUAGGCCCAAGCGACUGUUUAGCAAAAACACAGCUCUAUGCUAAAUCGAAAGAUGACGUAUAUGGGGUGACACCUGCCCGGUGCUGGAAGGUUAAGAGGAGAUGUGAGAGCAUUGAAUUGAAGCCCCAGUAAACGGCGGCCGUAACUAUAACGGUCCUAAGGUAGCGAAAUUCCUUGUCGGGUAAGUUCCGACCCGCACGAAAGGUGUAACGAUUUGGGCACUGUCUCAACGAGGGACCCGGUGAAAUUGAAAUACCUGUGAAGAUGCAGGUUACCCGCGACUGGACAGAAAGACCCCAUGGAGCUUUACUGUAACCUGACAUUGGGUUUUGAUACAUUACGUACAGGAUAGGUGGGAGGCAUGGAAAGCUGGACGCUAGUCUGGCUGGAGCCGACGUUGGGAUACCACCCUUGAUGUAUUGAAAUUCUAACCGCGAGAGUAACGAAAUCCGGGACAGUGUCAGGCGGGCAGUUUGACUGGGGCGGUCGCCUCCGAAAGAGUAACGGAGGCGCCCAAAGGUUCCCUCAGCGCGGCCGGAAAUCGCGCGAAGAGUGUAAAGGCAGAAGGGAGCUUGACUGCGAGUCAAACACGACGAGCAGGUACGAAAGUAGGGCUUAGUGAUCCGGUGGUACCGAGUGGAAGGGCCAUCGCUCAACGGAUAAAAGCUACCCUGGGGAUAACAGGCUAAUCUCUCCCAAGAGUCCAUAUCGACGGGGAGGUUUGGCACCUCGAUGUCGGCUCAUCACAUCCUGGGGCUGAAGUCGGUCCCAAGGGUUGGGCUGUUCGCCCAUUAAAGUGGUACGUGAGCUGGGUUCAGAACGUCGUGAGACAGUUCGGUCCCUAUCCAUCGCGGGCGCAAGAGAUUUGAAGGGGGCUGCUCCUAGUACGAGAGGACCGGAGUGGACGAACCGCUGGUGUACCAAUUAUCCCGCCAGGGGUACAGUUGGGUAGCUACGUUCGGAAAGGAUAAACGCUGAAAGCAUCUAAGCGUGAAACCAGCCUUAAGAUGAGAUCUCUCAUAGAGCAAUCUAGU
rnacentral:rRNA from 1 species